GAUGAACGCUGGCGGCGUGCCUAAUACAUGCAAGUCGAGCGAACAGACGAGGAGCUUGCUCCUCUGACGUUAGCGGCGGACGGGUGAGUAACACGUGGAUAACCUACCUAUAAGACUGGGAUAACUUCGGGAAACCGGAGCUACUACCGGAUAAUAUAUUGAACCUCAUGGUUCACUAGUGAAAGACGGUUUUGCUGUCACUUAUAGAUGGAUCCGCGCCGCAUUAGCUAGUUGGUAAGGUAACGGCUUACCAAGGCAACGAUGCGUAGCCGACCUGAGAGGGUGAUCGGCCAGACUGGAACUGAGACAGGGUCCAGACUCCUACGGGAGGCAGCAGUAGGGAAUCUUACGGAAAGGGGGAGAGCCUGACGGAGCAACGCCGCGUGAGGGAUGAAGGUCUUCGGAUCGUAGAACUCUGUUAUUAGGGAAGAACAAAUGUGUAAGUAACCAUGAACGUCUUGACGGUACCGAAUCAGAAAGCCACGGCUAACUACGUG
rnacentral:rRNA from 1 species